ACUGGACAUGGUGGUGCAUGCCUGUAAUCCCAGUGGCUGGGAGGUUGAGGCAGAGGAUCACAAGGCCAGCCUCAGGGAAGCGAGGUGCUAAGCAAUUCAGUGAGACCCUGUCUCUA
rnacentral:sRNA from 1 species